CCUGGAAGGGAUUCCAAGCUCCCCUGUCUGGAGUGGUGUGAUGAACUCUCCCUUAGCCUACUGAGUACAUAUGAGUGAAGACAGAGGAGGCGCCGUCUCCGUCUGCUCGCCGCGAGACGAGGAGAAACCCAACAAGAGGAGCCGAGAGAGGAAACACAAGAACAAGAAGCAGCACAAACACAAGAAGGACAAGAAGAAGAAGAAGAAGAAGAAGAAGCACAAGAACAAAGGAAAGCAGCAGAAGAAGAGUAAGAAGGAGACGGACAGCAGCGGCGAGGACAGCGGCGAGGACGCUGCACAGGUGUCGACUCAGGAGCUGCUCAAAAGACUGAAAAAUGUCCGGUCUCUUGAGUCCUGGUGAAGACAGUGAGCCGUGUCCUCUGUGAGGACGACCGUCAGCAGAUACC
rnacentral:lncRNA from 1 species